UGAGGAAUAUUGGGUCAAUGGGCGCGAGCCUGAACCAGCCAAGUAGCGUGAAGGACGAAGGCCCUAUGGGUUGUAAACUUCUUUUGCGGGGGGAUAAACGCGCCACGCGUGGCGUCUUGCAGGUACCCCGCGAAUAAGGGUCGGCUAACUCCGUGCCAGCAGCCGCGGUAAUACGGAGGACCCGAGCGUUAUCCGGAUUUAUUGGGUUUAAAGGGUGCGUAGGCGGGACCUUAAGUCAGUUGUGAAAUCCGGCGGCCCAACCGUCGGCCUGCAGUUGAUACUGGGGUCCUUGAGUUCGGAUGAGGCAGGCGGAAUUCGUGGUGUAGCGGUGAAAUGCAUAGAUAUCACGAAGAACCCCGAUUGCGUAGGCAGCCUGCCAGGCCGCGACUGACGCUGAGGCACGAAAGUGCGGGUAUCGAACAGGAUUAGAUACCCUGGUAGU
rnacentral:rRNA from 1 species